rnacentral:rRNA from 1 species
AACGAACGCUGGCGGCAUGCCUAACACAUGCAAGUCGAACGAAGCCUUCGGGCUUAGUGGCGCACGGGUGCGUAACGCGUGGGAAUCUGCCCUUGGGUUCGGAAUAACAGUUAGAAAUGACUGCUAAUACCGAAUGAUGUCUUCAGACCAAAGAUUUAUCGCCCAAGGAUGAGCCCGCGUCGGAUUAGCUAGUUGGUGAGGUAAAGGCUCACCAAGGCGACGAUCCGUAGCUGGUCUGAGAGGAUGAUCAGCCACACUGGGACUGAGACACGGCCCAGACUCCUACGGGAGGCAGCAGUGGGGAAUAUUGGACAAUGGGCGAAAGCCUGAUCCAGCAAUGCCGCGUGAGUGAUGAAGGCCUUAGGGUUGUAAAGCUCUUUUACCCGGGAUGAUAAUGACAGUACCGGGAGAAUAAGCCCCGGCUAACUCCGUGCCAGCAGCCGCGGUAAU